GAUAUCGGUUCGUCAUCAGCAUCUCAGCAAGUGACUCCGUAUCCACGUUAUGUUCAGUUAGUUCUUUUUCUUCAUCUUAUUUCCAUUCCUCCUCUCGAAUCACUGAUGCUCGUGAUGCUGAGUUAACUCCAACCGGCUUGUACAGUUCUUAGGAAAAAUGUCUUCAUGGGCUGGCUCUUCUCGUUGGUUAACAUACGUAAUAUGUAUUCUAUAGUUAUACACUGAAGAUCACUUGAUCACUUAAGAAGGAACGCAUUAAUGUUCACAUUUGCCAGCCUCUGUCGGCCUUUCCCUUACAGAGAAAAACUAUACCCAUAACUGCGCCACCAUCAUCAUACUAUAUAUAUUUGUGUUGUUGUUGGCGGAAAAAAUUCUGUUUGUUAUUAUGUGCUGUUUCCGUUUAAACCGGUUCGUUCUCUCUCACCAAGCACCAAUUCCACUCUCCUCCGCAUCUUGGACAACGCGACGUUCCUCUUCAACGUGCGCGAGACAUUCUAAGUAUCAACGGACCCGUACAAAGAUAUGAUUUUUUUUUCUAACCGUACCGCUGGUUUUGCGUCAUACAUACAAUAAGAAAUACAAGAACAACAACAACAACAAACGAAACGAUCACAGGUUGGAAUCUCGAUCCAGGAACUGAAAGAUGAGGAGAGGCGAAGAUCACCUGAAGAUCGCGGCAACACAAAUAAUAGCCUCAGACUGGAACGCAAGAAAAAAUAAGCCAACAAUGAAGAUCAUAUACAGAGGUUCCUACCUGGAGGUGAUUUGAACAGAUGAUAGUUAUAAGGGGAUAUUUUGUAUGGGUGAACAAAUAUUCAGUAUCCUAUUUUUGAAAUGGUGAGACUUUUCUUCUUUUUUGUGGGAAAAAACAUAAAACAUAUCUCCCAGGAGCAAAAGAUAUUCUCAAAAAAGACAUUACUCCAGAUAUCCAAUUUGUAAUUUUUUAACACCUAACCAUAUUA